rnacentral:rRNA from 1 species
CAGCUCCAAUAGCGUAUAUUAAAGUUGUUGCGGUUAAAAAGCUCGUAGUUGGUUCUGCGUGCCACGCUGUCGGUUCACCGCCUGUCGGUGCAACUGGCAUGCCGUGGCAUGUCCUGUCGGUGGCUGACAGGCUUCGCGGCGCGCCCUAUGCGUUCAUACGUGUAGGCAGUUGCGCCGCGUCGUCCUUGUAGGCCGGCUCAAUCCUACCGCGGUGCUCUUUGCCGAGUGUCGAGGUAGGCCGACACUGUUUACUUUGAACAAAUUAGAGUGCUUCAAGCAGGCUCUGAAAGCAGCCUGAAUAGUGGUGCAUGGAAUAAUGGAACAGGACCUUGGUUCUAUUUUGUUGGUUUUCGGAAUCCAAGGUAAUGAUCAAUAAGGACAGGCGGGGGCAUUCGUAUUGCGACGUUAGAGGUGAAAUUCUUGGAUCGUCGCAAGACGCACUAGAGCGAAAGCAUUUGCCAAGUAUGUCUUAAUUGAUCAAGAACGAAAGUUAGAGGUUCGAAGGCGAUCAGAUACCGCCCUAGUUCUAACCAUAAACGAUGCCAGCCAGCGAUCCGCCGAUGUUCCUCCGAUGACUCGGCGGGGAGCUUCCCCCAGGAAACCAAAGCUUUUGGGUUCCGGGGGAAGUAUGGUUGCAAAGCUGAAACUUAAAGGAAUUGACGGAAGGGCACCACAAGGAGUGGAGCCUGCGGCUUAAUUUGACUCAACACGGGAAACCUCACCAGGCCCGGACAUUGGAAGGAUUGACAGAUCGAUAGCUCUUUCUCGAUUCAGUGGGUAGUGG